rnacentral:rRNA from 1 species
AGUGAACGCUGGCGGUAGGCCUAACACAUGCAAGUCGAACGGCAGCACAGAGGAGCUUGCUCCUUGGGUGGCGAGUGGCGGACGGGUGAGGAAUACAUCGGAAUCUACUCUGUCGUGGGGGAUAACGUAGGGAAACUUACGCUAAUACCGCAUACGACCUACGGGUGAAGGCAGGGGGCCUUCUGGCCUUGCGCGAUUGAAUGAGCCGAUGUCGGAUUAGCUAGUUGGCGGGGUAAAGGCCCACCAAGGCGACGAUCCGUAGCUGGUCUGAGAGGAUGAUCAGCCACACUGGAACUGAGACACGGUCCAGACUCCUACGGGAGGCAGCAGUGGGGAAUAUUGGACAAUGGGCGCAAGCCUGAUCCAGCCAUACCGCGUGGGUGAAGAAGGCCUUCGGGUUGUAAAGCCCUUUUGUUGGGAAAGAAAUCCAGCUGGCUAAUACCCGGUUGGGAUGACGGUACCCAAAGAAUAAGCACCGGCUAACUUCGUGCCAGCAGCCGCCGCCG